GAACGGUAGAGAAGAUAGAUUCAAAAGGGAAGAAAGGGAGAAAGGUGUAUUCGGUAAUCAAAGAAGAGAGAAAGUAAAAAGAAAGAAGAAAAAGAAAAAGAUGAGGAAGGAGAGUUUAUUCAUCCAAAAAGAAAAUAGGUGAAAAGGAGAAGAGCAGUCAAAAGAAAACAAACCCGAGAGGUACCCAAAAACUUAGCAAAAAUCGACACCUACAAGUAGGGAGAGGGAAAACCACACAAAAUCGGCAUGAAAAGAAUAGCAAAAAAUGAACAAAAUGCCCACUAGCCGAAUUUUCCUGAGUAACAAGUCCAAUUUUCGGCACCACUCCCUUCUCCCCUCACUUCCCUUGAUUUUCUCCUAAAAUCUCUCCCCUUAUCCCUCCUUGAAUCACUCCACCAAUUUCUCCUCAACUCCCCAAACAACUCCAUUCAAACACCCCUUAGCUGCGUUUCAGUCCAACUCCA
rnacentral:lncRNA from 1 species